GCCAGCCUAUGAACUUCACCUCAGUUAUGGGAUGGAAUGGGCCUGGAAACACUGCCUUCAAAGAAGCAUGAGAGCCGGGCUUGUUGAAUCAGACUUGGAAUGUAAGCACUCAAGAGGCUGGAGUUGGAGGAUUCAAGGCCAGCUGGGCUGCAGAUUAUUUGGGAGCGGCUGCCAGGACACAGAGAAACUCCACUUACGAUGCACACCAGACAUUUGAAUAUAGUGGAGGUGAGGAAACAGCCCACUACUGGGGAGAAUACAUAAAGACAGAACAGGAAUACCUUCUGCCAUAAGGUAGGUGUGUGGUUGUGUCCCUAAGUCGCGGUUGGUGUCGCUGAGUUCAACAAACAAGGAAAGUGGCCAUUGUUGAGGGCGAGACUUCCUUUAAACUUCUUGUGAGGGUGGAGAAAUGACUCCAUAAUUCAGAGCACUUGCUGCUCUUGCAGAGGACCUGGGUUCGAUUCCCACCCACAGGGUGGCUCAUAACCAUCUGGAACUUCAGCUCCAGGGGAUCUAAUAGCCUCUUCUGACUUCCGAGGGUGCUGCACACACUGGGUGCACAGACACACAAACAAACUCUCAUACUCAUUAAAAAUCUGAAAAAAAAUUUAAAAUUUGUAGUUUUUUUUCGGGGGGAUGGGGAGAGUCUCUUCUAUGUAGUCCUGGAUGUUCUGGAACUCACUCUGUAGACCAGGCUGGCCUCGGACUCACAGAGAUCCUCCUGCCUCUGCCUCCCGAGUGCUGGGAUUAAAGGCGUGUGCCAUCGCCGCCCAGUCUGGCCUGUUAUUUUCAAUUGCUUGCAUGUAUGUGCCUGUUUAUCUGUAUGUACACCUGCAUGUGGUGCUUGUGGAGGCUAGAGAAGGGCUCAGGACUCCUUGAACUGGAAUUAUAGAUUGUUGAGAGCCAAUGGAGAGGGGGCUGGGACAG